AUGGGUUGAUUUCAAUUGCUUUGAAUUAUGGUUAUAUACAGGCAGAAGGGAAGGAUUUUGGUCUUCAUUUUUCAAAACACCACAGCCACCAGGCUUCUUCUAAAAGCAACGAUUGGGGUGCUUUCUCUUGCCAUGCUGAGAUCAGGUUAUACUGUUCCCCACUCAUACUCAAAAGUAUAUGCAUGCCUUCUUGGUAGUUUCAUUGUUUGGAUGGUUUAAACUUCAAUUAUUAAAGGUUAUUUGGGAAUGAUGUGAGAUACCUUUUAAACUUGCUAAAGUGAUGGGCUUACUACUCACAAGUUGAAAUGACUUGAAAUGACUUGAAAGUGAAAGCUUAGAGAUCAUAAAAGUUCUUCCUUUUACUUUUUAUUUUAUUUUAUUCCCAGAAUUUUUCAAAAUUU